ensembl:lncRNA
GAGGCUGUGAAGAGAGAAAAGCAGCAUAACAAGAAUUACUUUCUCAAGCAAGACUUCCUCAGUCUUUUGAGUCGCGUGAAGUGCUGUUUAACACACUGAAUAUUUCAGAAGAAUUCAAGUUUUUACAGACGACCUGACUGAAAGCUCUGUUCACCAGAUGUAGGCAGCAGAUGAUUCAUCCAAUUUCUCAUCAUCCAAUAAAUCAGUCCCAAACAUUAAAGAUCAGUGAGCCCACACACCUUUUGAGAAUCAUAAAUACUGCAAAAUCGUGCAAAUUUCACACCCAAAUGCUUAUGUUGAAGGGGCAAGGAGAAAUGUGACACAACAGUAAGGAAUUCUUACAAAGUAUACACCGACAUGUUUCAUUUCUGUCAUUUCUGAACUGUAUGUUUUCUGUUAAAAACAAAACAAAACAAAAAACCCCGAGUAAACUGUAUGUCUUCUCAGUCUCUCACCUGAGUCGGAAGUGGGCAUUUCCGAGAGAAAAACAGAAAAGGAGAAAAGAGACUUUAAAAAAAAAAAAAAAAAAAAAAAAAAAACCCGGAAAUGUUUCGAAACAAACCUCUUACUGGAAACGGUUCAGUCUUCGAGCUGAAAUGACGGUGUCUCGCCCCGCCCACACCAUGACGUCAGAGUCCUACAUUUACAUUCUAAUAAUACACACAUUACGGUAAUUGGACUGCAGCGACUGUAAUUUAGUUUACUCUCGCACUGUGCCAGCUCACACUGCCAGUCGACAUGUUAGCAGCAACAAAAUGAAGUGUUUGGACUGAGUGUUAAAACUUGUUCUAAUGUAAACAGAGCCUUAAAAAAAAGACAAGAAUUGUUUUUAUCUGUCUGAACACAUUAAACAUAUUACUGUCUCAAUUAAAACAAUUAAAACAAAC